CAGGCCUAACACAUGCAAGUCGAACGGGGUCUUCGGACCCAGUGGCGAACGGCGGAGUAAUACAUAAGCAACGUGCCCUAAAGACUGGGAUAAUCAUUGGAAACGAUGGGUAAUACCAGAUGUGGUCUUCUCUUGGCAUCUUGAGAAGAUUAAACGGUUUUUCGCUUUAGGAGCGGCUUAUGGCCUAUCAGGUAGUUGGUGGGGUAACAGCCUACCAAGCCGACGACGGGUAGCGGGUCUGAGAGGAUGAUCCGCUCGAGUGGGACUGAGACACGGCCCACACACCUACGGGUGGCAGCAGUUGGGAAUCUUGCACAAUGGGGGAAACCCUGAUGCAGCGACGCCGCGUGGAGGAUGAAGGGUCUAGGCCUGUAAACUCCUUUUGACGGGAAAGACUUAGGACGGUACCCGUUGAAUAAGGACCGGCUAACUACGUGCCAGCAGCCGCGGUAAGACGUAGGGUCCAAGCGUUGUCCGGAUUUACUGGGCGUAAAGAGCGCGUAGGCGGUCUGUUAAGUGUGAAGUGAAAUCUCCAGGGCUCAACCCGGAAACUGCUUCGCAUACUGGCAGACUGGAGGGAUGCAGAGGUUUGUGGAAUUCCUGGUGUAGCGGUGAUAUGCAUAGAUAUCAGGAGGAACACCCAUGGCGAAGGCAGCAAACUGGGCAUCAUCUGACGCUGAGGCGCGAAAGCGUGGGUAGCAAACAGGAUUAGAUACCCUGGUAGUCCACGCCCUAAACGAUGGAUACUAG
rnacentral:rRNA from 1 species